UACGUAGGGUGCAAGCGUUGUCCGGAAUUAUUGGGCGUAAAGAGCUCGUAGGCGGUUUGUUGCGUCAGCUGUGAAAUCCCGAGGCUCAACCUCGGGUCUGCAGUCGAUACGAGCAAACUAGAGUGUUGCAGGGGAGACUGGAAUUCCUGGUGUAGCGGUGAAAUGCGCAGAUAUCAGGAGGAACACCGGUGGCGAAGGCGGGUCUCUGGGCAACAACUGACGCUGAGGAGCGAAAGCGUGGGGAGCGAACAGG
rnacentral:rRNA from 1 species